rnacentral:misc_RNA from 1 species
GAUGAAGAACGUAGCGAAAUGCGAUAAGUAGUGUGAAUUGCAGAAUUCCGUGAAUCAUCGAAUCUUUGAACGCACAUUGCGCCCCUUGGUAUUCCAUGGGGCAUGCCUGUUCGAGCGUCAUUUGUACCCUCAAGCUUUGCUUGGUGUUGGGCGUCUUGUCGUAUUACGACUCGCCUUAAAUACAUUGGCAGCCGGCACUUUGGCCUAGGAGCGCAGCACAUUUUGCGAUCGUAGCCCGUUGUACUGGCGUCCAUCAAGAACAUUUACCACGUUUGACCUCGGAUCAGGUAGGGAUACCCGCUGAACUUAAGCAUAUCAAUAAGCGGAGGA